rnacentral:rRNA from 1 species
GAUUUUGGAGAUGGAAAGCGGCGGACGGGUGAGUAACGCGUGGGCAAUCUGCCCGGUAGCGGAGGACAACACCGGGAAACCGGUGCUAAUACCGCAUAACACACCACUGUGGCAUCACAGAGGUGUCAAAGGAGAAAUCCGGUACAGGAUGGGCCCGCGUCCAAUUAGCUAGUUGGUGGGGUAAAGGCCUACCAAGGCGACGAUUGGUAGCCGAACUGAGAGGUUGAUCGGCCACAUUGGGACUGAGAGACGGNCCAGACUCCUACGGGAGGCAGCAGUGGGGAAUAUUGCGCAAUGGGGGGAACCCUGACGCAGCAACGCCGCGUGAAGGAUGAAGGUUUUCGGAUCGUAAACUUCUUUGAUUGGGGAAGAAGAAAGUGACGGUACCCAAAAAACAAGCCACGGCUAACUACGUGCCAGCAGCCGCGGUAAUACGUAGGUGGCAAGCGUUGUCCGGAAUUACUGGGUGUAAAGGGCGUGUAGGCGGGGGUGCAAGUCAGAUGUGAAAGCCCAGGGCUCAACCCUGGGACUGCAUCUGAAACUGCAUCUCUUGAGUGCCGGAGAGGAAAGCGGAAUUCCCAGUGUAGCGGUAAAAUGCGUAGAGAUAGGGAGGAACAACAGUGGCAAAGGCGGCUUUCUGGAACGGUAACUGACGCUGAGGCGCGAAAGCGUGGGGA